GUUAAUCAGACGGUCGCGGGCCGGUUUUGCCGGCACGAGGAAAGUCCGAGCCUCACAGAGCAAGGUGCCGGGUAACUCCCGGUGAAGGCGACUUUAAGGAAAGUGCAACAGAAAUAGACCGCCGCGGUCUUCGCGGUAAGGAUGGAAAGGCGGUGUAAGAGACCACCGUGUCCCCGGCGACGGGGAUAGCCCUGUAAACCCCACCUGAGGCAAGAUUUAGAAGGUUCGACCCUAUCUUAUUCGCCGCAAGGCGCAAUUAUGAUAUUCGGAACGUCUGCUCGGCGGCCUUCGCCAUAUCGCUCGAUCGGUUAGGUAACUAUCCGGCUAGAUAGAUGACCGUUUGAUACAGAACUCGGCUUACAGAUUAACUUG
rnacentral:RNase_P_RNA from 1 species